rnacentral:rRNA from 1 species
GACGAACGCUGGCGGCGUGCCUAAUACAUGCAAGUAGAACGCACAGUUUAUACCGUAGCUUGCUACACCAUAGACUGUGAGUUGCGAACGGGUGAGUAACGCGUAGGUAACCUGCCUGGUAGCGGGGGAUAACUAUUGGAAACGAUAGCUAAUACCGCAUAAUAUUAAUUAUUGCAUGAUAAUUAAUUGAAAGGUGCAAUUGCACCACUACCAGAUGGACCCGCGUUGUAUUAGCUAGUAGGUGAGGUAACGGCUCACCUAGGCGACGAUACAUAGCCGACCUGAGAGGGUGAUCGGCCACACUGGGACUGAGACACGGCCCAGACUCCUACGGGAGGCAGCAGUAGGGAAUCUUCGGCAAUGGACGAAAGUCUGACCGAGCAACGCCGCGUGAGUGAAGAAGGUUUUCGGAUCGUAAAGCUCUGUUGUAAGAGAAGAACGGGUGUGAGAGUGGAAAGUUCACACUGUGACGGUAUCUUACCAGAAAGGGACGGCUAACUACGUG